rnacentral:misc_RNA from 1 species
UUUUUCUCAUCUAGCAUCUGAGAUUUCCUUUCCGACAAGAAAGUCUUCUGCCCUUGGCCCGGUCGCAAGUCUUGUAUAAAUAUCUUCACUCUUCCAAGCAAUCCAAUCAUCUCUCGACUCACCAUCCUCGCACGCAGGCGCAAUAUAACAUGGUAAGGGAUAGAAUCCAUAAUUAAUGGAGAAGAUUGAGCACAUCACAGUAGCCACAAAUGGCAUAAACAUGCACGUAGCAACUAUAGGGACCGGCCCAGCAAUCCUCUUCUUACAUGGGUUCCCUGAACUCUGGUACUCUUGG